GGUAUUGCACUUACCGAAGACUAUCAAACUCCGAAUGCCGUAUUCUUUUGCUUGGGAGUCAGACUAUGGGUGAUAAGAUUCAUAGUCAAGAGGGCAACAGCCCAGAUCGUCAGCUAAGGUCCCUAAAUGUAAGUUAAGUGGUAAAGGAUGUGGAAUUGCACAGACAACCAGGAUGUUGGCUUAGAAGCAGCCACUCAUUUAAAGAGUGCGUAAUAGCUCACUGGUCGAGUGAUUCUGCGCCGAAAAUUUCCGGGGCUAAAACUUACUACCGAAGCUACGGCAUCAUUAUGAUGGGUAGGGGAGCUUUCUAUGCGGCUUGAAGCAUGACCGUAAGGACAUGUGGACUGCAUAGAAGUGAGAAUGUUGGCAUGAGUAGCGAGAUGUGGGUGAGAAUCCCACAGGCCGUAAACCCAAGGUUUCCAGGGGAAGGUUCGUCCGCCCUGGGUUAGUCAGGACCUAAGCCGAGGCCGAAAGGCGUAGGUGAUGGACAACAGGUUGAUAUUCCUGUACCACCAAUAACCGUUUGAGAAAUGGGAUGACACAGUAGGAUAAGCUAACCGCACUGUUGGUUAUGUGCGGGCAAGUAUUGAGGCAGUUCCGAUAGGCAAAUCCGUCGGAAUAAUGCUGGGGUACGAUGCGGAGCGAAAUUUAGUAGCGAAGUAGCUGAUUUCACACUGUCGAGAAAAGUCUCUAUCGAGGUUAAAGGUGCCUGUACCGCAAACCGACACAGGUGGGUGAGGAGAGUAUCCUAAGGCCAGCGAGAGAACUGUUGUUAAGGAACUCGGCAAAAUGACCCCGUAACUUAGGGAGAAGGGGUGCCUUCGAAAGAAGGCCGCAGAGAAUAGGCCCAAGCGACUGUUUACCAAAAACAUAGGUUUCUGCUAAGUCGCAAGACGAUGUAUAGGAGCUGACGCCUGCCCGGUGCUGGAAGGUUAAGGGGAUCUGUUAGAGCAAUCGAAGCAGUGAACUUAAGCCCCAGUAAACGGCGGCCGUAACUAUAACGGUCCUAAGGUAGCGAAAUUCCUUGUCGGGUAAGUUCCGACCCGCACGAAAGGCGUAACGAUUUGGGCACUGUCUCAACAACAGACUCGGUGAAAUUGUAAUACCGGUGAAGAUGCCGGUUACCUGCGACAGGACGGAAAGACCCCAUGGAGCUUUACUGUAGCUUGACGUUGGGUCUUGGUACUACAUGUACAGGAUAGGUGGGAGACUAUGAAGCAUGGACGCCAGUCUGUGUGGAGUCAUCCUUGGGAUACCACCCUUGUAGUACUGGGAUUCUAACCAGAGGCCAUGAAUCUGGUCUUGGGACACUGUCAGGUGGGCAGUUUGACUGGGGCGGUCGCCUCCCAAAAAGUAACGGAGGCGCUCAAAGGUUCUCUCAGUACGGUCGGAAAUCGUACGAAGAGUGUAAAGGCAAAAGAGAGCUUGAUUGCAAGACAUACAGGUCGAGCAAGGACGAAAGUCGGACUUAGUGAUCCGGUGGUUCCGCAUGGAAGGGCCAUCGCUCA
rnacentral:rRNA from 1 species